AUUGAACGCUGGCGGCAGGCCUAACACAUGCAAGUCGAACGAGUGGCGGACGGGUGAGUAAUGUCUGGGAAACUGCCCGAUGGAGGGGGAUAACUACUGGAAACGGUAGCUAAUACCGCUAACCAUCGGAUGUGCCCAGAUGGGAUUAGCUAGUAGGUGGGGUAACGGUUCACCUAGGCGACGAUCCCGAGCUGGUCUGCGAGGAUGACGAGGCACACUGGAACUGAGACACGGUCCAGACUCCUCCGGGAGGCAGCAGUGGGGGAUAUUGCACAAUGGGCGCAAGCCUGAUGCAGCCAUGCCGCGUGUACGAAGAAGGCGGUCGGGUUUUAAAGUUCUUUCAGCGAGGAGGCGUUACUCGCAGAAGAAGCGUCGGCUAACUCCGUGCCAGCAGCCGCGGUAAUUC
rnacentral:rRNA from 1 species